AAGUCGUAACAAGGUUUCCGUAGGUGAACCUGCGGAAGGAUCAUUACAGAGAACUUGCCCUUCGGGGUAGAUCUCCACCCUUUGUUUAUUAUACCUUUGUUGCUUUGGCGGGCCCGCCUCACGGCUACCGGCCUCGGCUGGUCCGCGCCCGCCAGAGAAUCCAAACUCUGAAUUAUAUGUCGUCUGAGUACUAUACAAUAGUUAAAA
rnacentral:misc_RNA from 1 species